rnacentral:rRNA from 1 species
AUGAGAGGAAUUCAACAUAGAAUUGACUUAAUUCCGGGAGCAAGUCUUCCUAAUCUUCCACACUAUCGAAUGAGCCCAAAGGAGCAUGGUAUAUUGAAGGAGAAAGUGGAGGAAUUGUUGCAAAAGGGGCACAUUCGAGAAAGUAUUAGCCCAUGUGUUGUACCAGCCCUACUCGCGCCAAAGAAAGAUGGAUCUUGGCGCAUGUGUACGGGCAGUAGAGCCGUUAACAAGAUCACCGUAAGGUAUAGAUUCCCUAUUCCCCGUCUGGAUGAUAUGUUGGAUCAGCUUAGUGGAGCAAGAGUGUUCACAAAGCUAGAUUUAAGAAGUGGAUAUCAUCAAAUCCGUAUAAGACCCGGGGAUGAAUGGAAGACCGCCUUCAAGACAAAGGAAGGGUUGUUUGAAUGGCUAGUCAUGCCAUUUGGACUCUCAAAUGCACCAAGUACCUUUAUGCACUUAAUGAAUCAAGUCCUUAGACCCUUCUUAUCCCACUUUGUUGUGGUCUAUUUCGAUGACAUCUUGAUCUAUAGCAAGGAUGAGGAUGAACACUUUGAUCACAUUCGGAAGGUGCUAGAAGUACUAAGUAGAAGUACUAAGGGAAAAUGA